AUUGUCCGUUCUUCCGCUACAUAAAUAAGACACCAGACCAGAGGGCCAAACAACAAAAAGAAAAAAUAAACGACACCAGACGCUGAGCCAUCACACCAAAAAAUAAACGAGACGACAAAGUCUACUCUCUCACUCUCUCUCGCUCCUCUCUCUCAGUUAGCAUAUCCUUCUUUUCAGCCUCUCCAGAAUCAACGCCACCGUCAACACCACCUUGACAUUGCAAUACCACCCACGCAAAAACCCGAGCAGAGAACACAGACAAAUCGCAAUGGCUCGUAACGAAGAGAAAGCGCAGUCGAUGCUCAAUCGAUUCAUCACAUUAAAAGCCGAAGAAAAGAAGAAGCCAAAAGAGCGACGUCCAUACCUGGCCUCCGAAUGCCGGGACCUUGCUGAGGCCUCCAAAUGGCGGCAGCAAAUCAUGGGAGAGAUUGGCCGAAAAGUCGCCGAGAUCCAAAACGAAGGGCUUGGCGAGCACCGUCUCCGCGACCUCAACGAUGAGAUCAACAAGCUCAUACGGGAGAAGGUUCACUGGGAACGACGAAUUGUUGAGCUCGGAGGCCCUAACUACGCGAAACACGCCCCUAAGAUGACGGACCUCGAUGGCAACAUCAUCGACGUCCCAAACCCUAGCGGCCGAGGCCCUGGGUAUCGGUAUUUCGGCGCGGCGAAGAAGUUGCCUGGAGUCAGAGAGCUUUUCGAGAAGCCGCCGGAGCUGAGAAAGCGGAGGACGAGGUAUGAUAUAUACAAAAGGAUUGAUGCGAGCUAUUAUGGGUAUAGGGACGAUGAGGAUGGGGUUCUGGAGAAGGUUGAGGCUCCGGCGGAGGAGAAAAUGAGAGCGGAGGCCGUGGCGGAGUGGAAACGGAUGGAGGAGAUAAGGAAAGAGGCAAGGAGGGCGGUGAAGAGUGGGGAGGUGGUGUCGGUGGCGAAGGCGAAGGAGGUUUUGUUUGAAGAGGAAGAAGAGGUGGUUGAGGAGGAGAGGCAGAGAGAAAGGGAAUUACAAGAGAGGAGUGAGAUGGAGAAAGAGUUUGUGGUGCACGUGCUGUUGCCGGACGAUAAGGAGAUUGAGAAGAUGGUGCUGGAGAAGAAGAAGAAGGAGCUGCUGAGCAAGUAUACUAGUGAUGGAUUGUUGGAGGAGCAGACUGAGGCUAAGCAGAUGCUUAACAUUCAGCGCUAGAAUGCAGACACCAAGAAAGAGAAAGAGUACGUUACUGUGUUUAAUUUGACUCAUUGACUGAUAAGAAGUUGUUUGUUCUUAUCAAAUUGAUGUUUAAGAUGGAUUUUUGAUGUAUUAAUGUACUGGCAUAGGUUGAAUUCUCUUUGGUUAUUGGUAGGCUUUGUUAAGUAAGUGUUUGUAAGGUAUUUAGAUGUUGGAUUGAGUAAUAGUUGUCCUUGAUGAUGAAACAAGUUAUAUUUGUCA